rnacentral:sRNA from 1 species
AUAUAUCUAUAAUAAAACGUUUAAUUAAAAUAAAAAAAACUUUUGCUAUCGUAAAAAGAGAAAAAUAAAAAUUUUGAGGUAAAACUAAAUAAAAAAUCAAGAGGCUGAAUCCCUAAAUUCCAAAUUGAUGAACAAAAAUAACAUUCACCUAAAUCCCUAAAUUCCCAAAUUCCAAAUCCCUAUUAGUAGAGAAGAGGCUAAAGCCCUAAAUUCCAAAAUUCCAAAAUUCUAAAAUUCCAAAUCCUAAAUUCCAAACAAGAGGCUAAAUUCCUAAAUUCCAAAUUGAUGAACAAUAACAUUCGUCGAAAAGACAUACCAGUGAACGAAACAUUAGAUCGGAGCAUUCACGUGUUAUCAAACAGACAGAAGAAAGCUAUACCAAUUUCUGAUCGAGAUCGGAGCAUUCACGUGUUGUCAAACAGUCAAAAGAACUCUAUACAUGAAGAACAAAGAAGAUACUAAGUCCCAGCAAAUCAAAAUCCAAUUUUAAAAUCAAUUUAAAGUAACAAAAAUCUAUUACCAUUCGUCCUUACUUGCUUAAACCCGAGAAGAAUCACUCCAUACAAGUCUGUGACACGCAAAAAUCAGAAAAACAGAGUCACACAACAAUGAAAAGAGAAUCGAUGAACCCUAGAAGACCCUAAUGUAUGGAAUUACAAAUCAUCGAUGACAGAAUGAAACAGAAAUAGAUACAAUUGAAAGAGAGAGAACGACUAUAACUAAGUAACCUGAUCGUAGAUAGAUGGCUCUCUCAGGUUGAGAUUGGUGAUCCUUUAGUCGAUCGGAAUCAUACGUGUGAUGAAAGAAUGAAGACGAAAAACAACAAGGGUAAGAGAUUGUAGUUUGCAAACAAUCUUAAUAUGGGGGAGAAACUCUCGUCUCCGUAUAUGUAAAUAACAGGAGCGUGGAUAAAAAAAAU